CAAACCAGGUCUCCAGUAUGCCACCACCUGUGGACUUUGUUUUCUCAUGACGAGACAUUCUGGAAUUAUUAAAAUAGUCACCAAUUAAUAUUUAAUUUCUGGUCCCCACAGCUGUUCUUUGUUUACAGUUAGUUACAGAGAGACAGAGAGAAGAGAACUGAAUUUGUCGAGCUGCAGAAACCGAUUGAUGAUGGGUUUUCUCCGACGAAUGCAAUCGAUGAUGAGAGAUGGUGCACGAACGGUCGAUGGUGGAGUACGAUUUUGUGGGGGGAAUGGAGUGGAAUCAUUAUCAGUUUGUGGUUUAUUUACAAUUAUCUGGGGAGGCACAGUUCCCCCACCACCACAUCCUCGAUCUCUGAACAUCUCGCAUCUCAAUGUGGAAUUUUCAAUUAGCAUGUAAAUAAUGAGAGGGAGGAUGGGACCAGAGAGCACAUGCACAGGCUUUCGGUGGCUCAUUCGAAGCGUGAAAACUGCCGGAUUAAAAUCAUAAACAAAACAAAAACUCGAAAAUAAACCAAAGCAAUUAGAUAAAUACACACAUUAAUAAUCGCGCAAACUAAUUUUACAAAAUGAUGUGAUGAUGAUUGGAAUCGUGUCGAACCAAAAUAGGAAAUUUCAACAGGAGAGACUAUGCUACAGCCUGAUUAUUCGGCUAUGGCUUACCCUAUGAUUACAUUACUUAUUAAUAAUAGAUGACCUUAAUGUGAUUAAAUAGAUGUGAGAAACGUAUGUCAAGAUUCUUCAGAGAUAUGCCUGGACAUCGUAAUUUAAAUAAAUCUCAAUCUAUAGAUACAUCUUA